GAUGAACGCUAGCUAUAGGCUUAACACAUGCAAGUCGAGGGGAAACGGCAUGAGAUGCUUGCAUCUUAUGGACGUCGACCGGCGUACGGGUGAGUAACGCGUAUCCAACCUGCCCGCGAGUAGGGGAUAACCCGCAGAAAUGCGGACUAAUACCCUAUAUGCUCACGAGAGGCUCCUGCCUUGGUGAGGAAAGAUUUAUCACUGACAGAUGGACAUGCGUCCCAUUAGCUGGUUGGUAGGGUAACGGCCUACCAAGGCAACGAUGGGUAGGGGAACUGAGAGGUUUAUCCCCCACAUUGGUACUGAGACACGGACCAA
rnacentral:rRNA from 1 species